GACGACCGCUGGCGGCGUGCCUAAUACAUGCAAGUCGAACGAGUGGCGGACGGGUGAGUAAUGUCUGGGAAACUGCCUGAUGGAGGGGGAUAACUACUGGAAACGGUAGCUAAUACCGCAUACCAUCAGAUGAACCCAGAUGGGAUUGGAUUGUUGGUGGGGUAACGGCUCACCAGGGCGACGAUCCCUAGCUGGUCUGAGAGGAUGACCAGCCACACUGGAACUGAGAAACGGUCCAGACUCCAACGGGAGGGAGCAGUGGGGAAUAUUGCACAAUGGGCGCAAGCCUGAUGCAGCCAUGCCGCGGGUAUGAAGAAGGCCUUCGGGUUGUAAAGUACUUUCAGCGGGGAGGCGUUACCCGCAGAAGAAGCACCGGCUAACUCCGUGCCAGCAGCCGCGGUAAUAC
rnacentral:rRNA from 1 species